GGAAAGAAGGAGGGAAGGAAGGAAAGGAAACAUGGAAGGAAGGAAGGAAAGAAGGAAGGAAGGAAAGGAAAGAUGGAAGAAAGGAAGGAAGGAUCAACCAUGAAGCCAAGUAACCAUGUGACCUGGGAUGCCAGCCUCUGGGAUUCCAGCCCGACCUCGGGGACUCAGAAGGAAAGAAGGGCUGGCGUCCGCCUACCAGCCAGAGGACACAGCAGUCCCGGGAGCAGUGCCUAGAAGAAGGCAGGGCACAGGCAGGCAGAGAGCAGAGGGUGGGUUCAGAUGGAGGCCGUGGAGAGGACACUGGACGCUGGCUGUAAAGACGUGUCAGCCCAUGCUCUGUGACCAGCCCCAUAGCAGGCAUCGGGGCCGUGGAGAUGUGGGGUCUAGUCCUAUCUGGAGAAACUCGCAUUUGGGGGAAGAGGAUGUGGAGACAAAUAAUCCAGAGGCAGCUUGGAACAUGCAUAUGCCUGUGCAAGGUUCCUGGGCCAGUCUCCCAAGACAGUGAGUAAUUAGCCGCGAAAGAGUCUUGGAUGUGAAGCCAAAAACAACAGCAGUGUCACAUCAGAUGCUGAGACAUCUCCAGCUAAGAGCUGAGCUCAGCCCCCACCCGCCCCCUCCACCCCCCAGCCGCAGCCACCAGCAGAAGGAAAACAGCCCCGUGCGGCUGAGUUCAACCAGGGCUGCCUUUCUCCACCGUGUCCGCCAUUCUGGUCUCGUGCCGCAGCAGGCAUUGCUAGAUGAUUGCCGUCAUGGCUCAUACUAACAAUAAAUAGGUCCUCCCGGGGACCCACCACCCAAACUCCUUGUGCCGGGAACAGCUACUAAAGGGGAGGCCCUUUCCAUAUUCCGCUUCAUUCUCCCCUCCUGGCGUGCCUCAAGGAACGACCACUGUCCCCAGGUUACAGCAACUUUUGUCCUGGGUGAAAGUUGUCUGCCCUCCUCACCGGCCUGCAGGCUCUUCUAGGGCAGGAUGGGGCUUGGUUCCUGUCUGCAUCUGGUGAAUCCCCUGACACACAUUAGGUAUCCUUACUCAAGGGAAGAGGGGCUUGCCUUUGGGACGGGGAUGAUGAAACUCAGCAGCCUUUGCAGGGUUUGUGAUUUAGCCUGUGUCAUUUUUGUGUGUCAGCGUAACUCUGGCUUGGCUUAGCUCUGUCAAACUCUGUGGGAUAAGAAGAGCAGAGCAUGAACCUGAAAACACACCCCAACCCCAAAUUAUUUCUGUUUCCAGGACACACACAGGACAGACUGGAAUAAAUACUGGUGGUUUAUCACAGGAAGGCUGGCCUCAGCUUGGGAGAGUAAGCGUGCAUGCAUACACAGCCAGCUGAUUUAUUGUGACCCGAGCCAAGCACUGAACAGAGCGAGGCCAUUUAUCUACUUGGUUGGAGGAGAGGUCAAGAGAGAGAAGUCAGAGAUUAAGCUAAAUAGUUCAGUGCCUUUGUUAACUCCCGGGGCGUCUCCUCUGCGCGGCUUGUGUUCCCAGGGAAUACUGUCAUGAGCUCCACAGGGAAGACUGGACUCCUUCUUGGGGAGACAGCCCUGGCCCCAGGGAGCAGCGUGGCCAAGGACAUUCUCAGCCUCUUGGGGUUGCCAAAAGGGAGCAGAAGCAGGAGGAGGGAGGGGGGGAGCUGGGAGGAACACCCCAUCGUGGAAGACCUGCUGCCAAUGCGGGGCUGCAGUCCCAGUCUCUGCCGCCACCAGACCCUGGUCAGGAGACAUCACAGACAGGCUCCCUUCUCCCGCCUUCAUUCAGGGCUCUGCUCAAACAGCCCAUUUGCAAUAGGACUUCCUGCAGUGUCCUAGUUAAAUACCCCAACCCAUGCCCCCAUCGUACGCUAUCCCUUCCCCUGCUUUAUGUUUCUUCAUGGUGCUCAGCACCCUGACAUAUCUAUGUCUGUAUUUGUUUACUUAUUGUUGGGUCUGUUUUUGAAUGAAGUGCUAUGUCUGUGGUGUAAAGUCCAACAUGUGGCAGAUUCUAGGUGCUCAAUAAAUAUCUAUUCAGUGAAUGACGAAUUGUUGCUAAUAGUUUACAACUGCUGAAUAUGUGCCUAGAUAAGCUUUGUAGAUCUCACUGUAUAUAACACCUCAACAGUACCAUGCUGUACAUACUGUCCUUAGGCUCAGAGAGGC
rnacentral:lncRNA from 1 species